rnacentral:rRNA from 1 species
AACGAACGCUGGCGGCAUGCCUAACACAUGCAAGUCGAACGAGACCUUCGGGUCUAGUGGCGCACGGGUGCGUAACGCGUGGGAACCUGCCCUUAGGUUCGGAAUAACUCCCCGAAAGGGGUGCUAAUACCGGAUAAUGUCUUCGGACCAAAGAUUUAUCGCCUUUGGUUGGGCCCGCGUUGGAUUAGCUAGUUGGUAGUGUAAAAGCCUACCAAGGCGACGAUCCAUAGCUGGUCUGAGAGGAUGAUCAGCCACACUGGGACUGAGACACGGCCCAGACUACUACGGGAGGAAGCAGUGGGGAAUAGUGGACAAUGGGCGAAAGCCUGAACAAGCAAUGCCGCGUGAGAGAUGAAGGCAUUAGGGUAGUAAAGCUCUUUUAACAGGGAUGAUAAUGACAGUACCGGGAGAAUAAGCACCGGCUAACUACGUG